rnacentral:rRNA from 1 species
GACGAACGCUGGCGGCGUGCUUAACACAUGCAAGUCGAACGAAGAGCGAUGGAAGCUUGCUUCUAUCAAUCUUAGUGGCGAACGGGUGAGUAACGCGUAAUCAACCUGCCCUUCAGAGGGGGACAACAGUUGGAAACGACUGCUAAUACCGCAUACGAUCUAAUCUCGGCAUCGAGGAUAGAUGAAAGGUGGCCUCUACAUGUAAGCUAUCACUGAAGGAGGGGAUUGCGUCUGAUUAGCUAGUUGGAGGGGUAACGGCCCACCAAGGCGAUGAUCAGUAGCCGGUCUGAGAGGAUGAACGGCCACAUUGGGACUGAGACACGGCCCAGACUCCUACGGGAGGCAGCAGGGGGGAAUCUUCCGCAAUGGACGAAAGUCUGACGGAGCAACGCCGCGGGAGUGAUGACGGCCUUCGGGUUGUAAAGCUCUGUUAAUCGGGACGAAAGGCCUUCUUGCGAAUAGUGAGAAGGAUUGACGGUACCGGAAUAGAAAGCCACGGCUAACUACGUG